rnacentral:miRNA from 1 species
UCCGAGCCUAAAGAGCUCGGCUCCAAGCCUAAGCUCCUUAGGCUUGGGGUCGAGCUCUUUAGGCUCGGAGA